rnacentral:rRNA from 1 species
UCAGGAUAGUGGCGGACGGGUGAGUAACACGUGAGCGAACCUGCCUAACGGAAUGGGAUUAGCGUUUCGGAAACGAACGGUAAUACCGUAUAACAGUAUGCAAUGCGCAUGCACAGCAUAUCAAAGGAGCAAUCCGCUGUUAGAUGGGCUCGCGGCCAAUUAGGUAGUUGGCGGGGUAACGGCUCACCAAGCCGACGAUUGGUAGCCGGACUGAGAGGUUGAUCGGCCACAUUGGGACUGAGACACGGCCCAGACUCCUACGGGAGGCAGCAGUGGGGGAUAUUGCACAAUGGAGGAAACUCUUGAUGCAGCGACGCCGCGUGAGGGAAGACGGUCUUCGGAUUGUAAACCUCUGUCUUAGGAGAAGAGUAAAAGACGGUACCCUAGGAGGAAGCCACGGCUAACUACGUGCCAGCCGCUGC